AGAGACUUAAGUUAAUAAAACUAAAAGCCUUCAAAGCUUUAAAUGGAAGUGAAACCCCUCCAGACUCUA
rnacentral:tRNA from 1 species